AGAGUUUGAUCAUGGCUCAGGACGAACGCUGGCGGCGUGCCUAAUACAUGCAAGUCGAGCGAGCUUGCCUAGAUGAAUUUGGUGCUUGCACCAAAUGAAACUAGAUACAAGCGAGCGGCGGACGGGUGAGUAACACGUGGGUAACCUGCCCAAGAGACUGGGAUAACACCUGGAAACAGAUGCUAAUACCGGAUAACAACACUAGACGCAUGUCUAGAGUUUAAAAGAUGGUUCUGCUAUCACUCUUGGAUGGACCUGCGGUGCAUUAGCUAGUUGGUAAGGUAACGGCUUACCAAGGCAAUGAUGCAUAGCCGGAGUUGAGAGACUGAUCGGCCACAUUGGGACUGAGACACGGCCCAAACUCCUACGGGAGGCAGCAGUAGGGAAUCUUCCACAAUGGACGCAAGUCUGAUGGAGCAACGCCGCGUGAGUGAAGAAGGGUUUCGGCUCGUAAAGCUCUGUUGGUAGUGAAGAAAGUAUAGAGGUAGUAACUGGCCUUUAUUUGACGGUAAUUACUUAGAAAGUCACGGCUAACUACGUGCCAGCAGCCGCGGUAAUACGUAGGUGGCAAGCGUUGUCCGGAUUUAUUGGGCGUAAAGCGAGUGCAGGCGGUUCAAUUAAGUCUGAUGUGAAAGCCUUCGGCUCAACCGGAGAAAUUGCAUCAGGAAACUGUUGAACUUGAGUGCCAGAAGAGGAGAGUGGAACUCCAUGUGUAGCGGUGGAAUGCGUAGAUAUAUGGAAGAACACCAGUGGCGAAGGCGGCUCUCUGGUCUGCAACUGACGCUGAGGCUCGAAAGCAUGGGUAGCGAACAGGAUUAGAUACCCUGGUAGUCCAUGCCGUAAACGAUGAGUGCUAAGUGUUGGGAGGUUUCCGCCUCUCAGUGCUGCAGCUAACGCAUUAAGCACUCCGCCUGGGGAGUACGACCGCAAGGUUGAAACUCAAAGGAAUUGACGGGGGCCCGCACAAG
rnacentral:rRNA from 1 species